UACGUAGGGGGCUAGCGUUGUCCGGAUUUAUUGGGCGUAAAGAGCGUGUAGGCGGCUUGGUAGGUCCGCUGUGAAAACUCGAGGCUCAACCUCGAGAUGUCGGCGGAAACCACUUGGCUAGAGUCCGGAAGAGGAGAGUGGAAUUCCCGGUGUAGCGGUGAAAUGCGCAGAUAUCAGGAGGAACACCAACAGCGAAGGCAGAUCUCUGGGACGUAACUGACGCUGAGACGCGAAAGCGUGGGGAGCAAACAGG
rnacentral:rRNA from 1 species